CCAGACAGUUGUCAAUGAUGAAAUGUAGUUAAGAUGAAAUUAAUGAUAUAAUUCAGUUCCUUCGUCACUACCGCUGAGACAACAGCUGG